UGGGUUACGCUGUAAACUAUCUUCCGCUGUUUUGUUAACUUGUAGCCGUCUCAAUGGAUGAUCAAAGAAAAAGGAAAGGAAAUUUCACCGACAUUGAGAUACGAAAGUUAAUUGAGCUGUACAGUCAGCACAGACACACACUGACUGCCAAGCAAUCAAACUCAAUAACGAACAAGAAGAAACAAACAACAUGGAAACAGAUAACGGAGGCGAUUAACGAUUGCUCUGACUCCGGCUGCCUUCGGACAGAGAGCGAUGUGAGGAAAAGUGGAAAGACCUCCUGAGCAAAGCAAAAAAAGAUUUGUCUUUUGAGAGGAUUCCCCGGCUUUUAUUGGUUUGGUCGGUGCGGAAAGUGGCGGUACCGAUCUGGAAGAAACUGCUGUCUCUCCAGAGAUGGAUGUCGACCACUCAAGCGAGAGUGUGAAUUGUGAAAGACUCGAUGGAGGCCCAAGUCACUCCACAAAAUACUCAUGAAGGCAGCAGCGGUGCACCGCUGGUGAAAUGGAGGAGGAGGCUGGAAGAUCUGCAGCAGACACUUCUUGAAAAAGAAAUUGUUAGAGUGGAGGCUGAAACAAAGAAAUUACAGGCAGAGCAGGAAAAGCUGGAACUUGAAAAAAAAAAAAAAUCAUUAGAAAUACAGUUGCUCCAACAACAGAUAAGCAGGUCAUCUUCGCCUAUUUCUGAAGAGGAUGGGCAGUCUUUUGUAAUUCUGUAAAUAAGCCUAAUGGCAAAUUGUGUGCAAUGAAUCAAUGACAAUUAUAUGUAAAUUAAAAAAGAGUUUAUUAUAAACCUA